GUCAUGAGCUCACCGUGCCGCAACCGUGGUGGCGGUGACGCUCAUCCUCGUGGACGACCUCUUCGUGAACUAGGUAUCCUGGUGUAGUUGAGAAACAGUGCUGGCAGCGGGAGGCGCAACGGCCUCUCCUCAGAAGAUGGACGCGCGUGGGUGGACCCGCGCCUGAGGGCCGCCAUGGUUGCGUUCGUCCUUGUGGCGAGCGAGCCAAGGACAGGGGAGGGCGGAGAUCACCCGUCGUCCUGGUGGCUGUUGGGGACAAGCACCUUGGGCGACAGCUGUGAACGGCGAGAGGAGCUCCCCACGCUGCAGGAAGAAGAGAUGGUGGUCGCCUGUCCAGAACUGUUGUUGCCGGCACCGGUGACGUCCCCAAGCUGUUGCUGCCAUCCACGACUCAGUCAUGCUGCUGCCGACGACCUCCCCAACCUGUAGCUGCCCUGUGAGGUUGUUCUCUCAACGUUACAAGAGUAUGGAGCACACUCUGAGGCAAGAUCCUAGAAAGGUUUAUCAUGGAUAUGGUCUAAUCGGUUUAUACCGUGGAUGCGCCACAACUUUGU